UACGUAGGGACCAAGCGUUGUUCGGAUUUACUGGGCGUAAAGGGCGCGUAGGCGGCAUGACAAGUCACUUGUGAAAUCUCCGGGCUUAACUCGGAACGGUCAAGUGAUACUGUCGCGCUAGAGUGCGGAAGGGGCAAUCAGAAUUCUUGGUGUAGCGGUGAAAUGCGUAGAUAUCAGGAGGAACACCGGUGGCGAAGGCGGAUCUCUGGGCCAUUACUGACGCUGAGGAGCGAAAGCGUGGGGAGCGAACAGG
rnacentral:rRNA from 1 species